AUUGAACGCUGGCGGCAUGCCUUACACAUGCAAGUCGAACGGCAGCAUGGGAGCAAUCCUGGUGGCGAGUGGCGAACGGGUGAGUAAUAUAUCGGAACGUGCCCAGUCGUGGGGGAUAACGUAGCGAAAGCUACGCUAAUACCGCAUACGAUCUAUGGAUGAAAGCGGGGGAUCGCAAGACCUCGCGCGAUUGGAGCGGCCGAUAUCAGAUUAGGUAGUUGGUGAGGUAAAGGCUCACCAAGCCGACGAUCUGUAGCUGGUCUGAGAGGACGACCAGCCACACUGGGACUGAGACACGGCCCAGACUCCUACGGGAGGCAGCAGUGGGGAAUUUUUGGACAAUGGGCGGCAAGCCUGAUCCAGCAAUGCCGCGUGCAGGAUGAAGGCCUCGGUGGUUAACGUACGUACGUUUACGUUUACGGUAACCGG
rnacentral:rRNA from 1 species